rnacentral:rRNA from 1 species
ACAAGGCUUCGGCCGGUAAAGGAUGGGGAUGCGUCUGAUUAGCUUGCCGGCGGGGUAACGGCCCACCGGGGCGACGAUCAGUAGGGGUUCUGAGAGGAAGGUCCCCCACAUUGGAACUGAGACACGGUCCAAACUCCUACGGGAGGCAGCAG